rnacentral:rRNA from 1 species
GCUGCAUGGCUGUCGUCAGCUCGUGUCGUGAGAUGUUGGGUUAAGUCCCGCACCGACCGCAACCCUUGUCUCUAGUUGCUACGAAAGGGCACUCUAGAGAGACUGCCGGUGACAAACCGGAGGAAGGUGGGGAUGACGUCAAGUCCUCAUGGCCCUUAUGGGUAGGGCUUCCCACGUCAUACAAUGGUGCAUACAGAGGGUUGCCAACCCGCGAGGGGGAGCUAAUCCCAGAAAAUGCAUCGUAGUCCGGAUCGUAGUCUGCAACUCGACUACGUGAAGCUGGAAUCGCUAGUAAUCGCGGAUCAGCAUGCCCCGCCCCG